rnacentral:rRNA from 1 species
GACGAACGCUGGCGGCGUGCUUAACACAUGCAAGUCGAACGGAAAGGCCCUGCUUUCGUCGGGUGCCCGAGGGGCGAACGGGUGUGUAACAUGGGAGUCACCCUCCCUUUGCUUUGGGAUAACUUCAGGCAACUGGGGCUAAUACCGGCUAGGAGCUCCUGCUGCAUGGUGGGGGUUGGACAGUUGCGGCGGAUGGGGAUGGACUCGCGGGUUAUCAGCUUGUUGGGGGGGUAGUGGCUUACCAAGGGUUAGGCGGAUAGCCGGCAUGGGAGGGUGGACGGGCACAUGGGGACUGAGAUACGGACCAGACGGGUACGGGAGGCAGAGGUGGGGAAUAUUGCACAAUGGGCGGGAGCCUGAGGCGGAGGCGUCGCGUGCGGGAUGACGGCCUACGGGUUGUAAACCGCUUUAGGCUGUGACGUAGCGUGAGUGACGGUAAUAGGUGAAGAAGCACCGGCUAACUACGUG